ACACAGAGCCCUUCCCGGCUGUGGACAGGAGCUGCCUCGGCUGAAGCUGGAGACGCCAACGAAAGGUAAAGCAGAAGAAACUGAAGGCGCUCUGGCUGCCAGCUGCCUUCCUGCCGCAGGCAAGAGAGAGCCUGUCCCUGCAGGUGGAGGACGGCCUAGAGUCUGGAGCUGCAGAAGAGGCAGGGCGGAGAGGAGGGGAAAGAAGCAUCUGAACGGCUAAAUUGUGCCAGCAGCGCUGAGAGCGAGAGUCGCGAUGUCUUCUCAGUGUCUCGUGAUGCUCAAGAGAUGCCCCCCGGCCCGGGUUUGCCUGCCGGUCGUUAAGCGUGGUGAAGGUAAGGGGCCAUCCCUCUGCCUGGGGGCUCCCGGCUCUGUCUCCAGCGGGUGCCCCGCAGGUGCGGCCGCGAGGGCUGCCUGGUGGGGAGAGUCGGGGCCCCCAGGGACCGGGGCUGUUUGUCGCCCCGGGGAGCCCAUCCCAGCGCGGGAGCGUGGCCGAGCAGAGCCCGAGAGAGACAUGACACUGUCCUCUGGCACGCUCCUGCUUUGCCGUGGGAUGGCCGCUAGCCUGCGGACAGGGGCUGGGGGGGCUGCCCCACCUUUUAGAUUUUAGCAGAGCUCCCCUUUUUUUGGGGAGUGGGUGUGUGUACCUUUGCAAAUGACACUCUUAAUGAGCUGCAGGUUGGAGCAGAUUCCCUUGUUUAGUGCCCUUCUUGGGGGUGAAUCACAGAAUCUCAGGUUGGAGGGGACCUCAGGGAUCACCUAGUCCAACCUUACUAUAAUAAAAUAGGGGGAGUCCUGGGGGGGUGAUGAUGUCAUGCAGGGCACCCCAGUGUCACUGGGGGAGCUGAUAAUGCAUCAGAGGAGCAGGUCAGUGUGUGUGUGGGUCAUCUAGGGGUUCCCCCCCUCAAAAAGGGGGGUUGCAGCCCAAAAACGCCUGAA